rnacentral:rRNA from 1 species
GAUGAACGCUGGCGGCGUGCCUAAUACAUGCAAGUCGAGCGAAUGGAUUAAGAGCUUGCUCUUAUGAAGUUAGCGGCGGACGGGUGAGUAACACGUGGGUAACCUGCCCAUAAGACUGGGAUAACUCCGGGAAACCGGGGCUAAUACCGGAUAAUAUUUUGAACUGCAUGGUUCAAAAUUGAAAGGCGGCUUCGGCUGUCACUUAUGGAUGGACCCGCGUCGCAUUAGCUAGUUGGUGAGGUAACGGCUCACCAAGGCAACGAUGCGUAGCCGACCUGAGAGGGUGAUCGGCCACGCUGGGACUGAGACACGGCCCAGACUCCGACGGGAGGCAGCAGUAGGGAAUCUUCCGCAAUGGACGAAAGUCUGACGGAGCAACGCCGCGUGAGUGAUGAAGGCUUUCGGGUCGUAAAACUCUGUUGUUAGGGAAGAACAAGUGCUAGUUGAAUAAGCUGGCACCUUGACGGUACCUAACCAGAAAGCCACGGCUAACUACGUGCCAGCCGCCGCGGUAA